ACGAACGCUGGCGGCGUGCUUAACACAUGCAAGUCGAACGGUGAAGCGCCUUCCUUUUUGGUGGGUGUGGAUGAGUGGCGAACGGGUGAGUAACACGUGAGUAACCUGCCCCCUUCUUCUGGAUAACCGCAUGAAAGUGUGGCUAAUACGGGAUAUUCUGGGUCUGUCGCAUGAUGGGUCUGGGAAAGAUAUUGUUUCGGUGGGGGAUGGGCUCGCGGCCUAUCAGGUUGUUGGUGGGGUGUUGGCCUACCAAGGCGGUGACGGGUAGCCGGCCUGAGAGGGUGGACGGUCACACUGGGACUGAGACACGGCCCAGACUCCUACGGGAGGCAGCAGUGGGGAAUAUUGCACAGUGGGCGCAAGCCUGAUGCAGCGACGCCGCGUGAGGGAUGGAGGCCUUCGGGUUGUGAACCUCUUUCGCCAGUGAAGCAGGCCUGCCUCGUUUGUGGGUGGGUUGACGGUAGCUGGAUAAGAAGCGCCGGCUAACUACGUG
rnacentral:rRNA from 1 species